CCUACGGGAGGCUGCAGUGGGGAAUAUUGGACAAUGGGCGAAAGCCUGAUCCAGCCAUGCCGCGUGUGUGAAGAAGGCCUUCGGGUUGUAAAGCACUUUCAGUGGGGAAGAAAGCCUUGGGGCUAAUACCCUCGAGGAAGGACAUCACCCACAGAAGAAGCACCGGCUAACUCCGUGCCAGCAGCCGCGGUAAUACGGAGGGUGCGAGCGUUAAUCGGAAUUACUGGGCGUAAAGCGCGCGUAGGCGGUCUGAUAAGCCGGUUGUGAAAGCCCCGGGCUCAACCUGGGAACAGCAUCCGGAACUGUCAGGCUAGAGUGCAGGAGAGGAAGGUAGAAUUCCCGGUGUAGCGGUGAAAUGCGUAGAGAUCGGGAGGAAUACCAGUGGCGAAGGCGGCCUUCUGGACUGACACUGACGCUGAGGUGCGAAAGCGUGGGUAGCAAACAGGAUUAGAUACCCCUGUAGUC
rnacentral:rRNA from 1 species